AGAUAAUGGAGCUGCUGACUGGAGAGGUUCCUGUAAGGUGUCAGGAUGUGGCAGUCUAUUUCUCCAUAGAGGAGUGGGAGUAUGUAGAAGGACACAAUGAUCUGUACAAGGAGGCCAUGAUGGAGGCUCCCCGACCUCUGACAUCACCAGAUGGUCCCGUAGAAAGAAAUCCCCCCGAGAGAUGUCCUCGUCCUCUGUAUUCCCAGGACUGUCCAGAGGAGAAGCUCCCAGAGAACCAUCAGGUAGAUGGAGCUGAGCCCUAUACACAUCUAUAUAGGGGGGUCCUGCAGUCA